GUCCUGAUGAGUCCCAAAUAGGACGAAACGCGCGUCCUGGAU
rnacentral:hammerhead_ribozyme from 1 species